rnacentral:rRNA from 1 species
UACGGAGGGGGCUAGCGUUGUUCGGAAUUACUGGGCGUAAAGGGUGCGUAGGCGGCCAUCCAAGUCAGACGUGAAAGGCCUGGGCUCAACCCGGGAACUGCGUUUGAGACUGGGCGGCUCGAGUCCGGGAGAGGUGAGCGGAAUUCCCAGUGUAGAGGUGAAAUUCGUAGAUAUUGGGAAGAACACCGGUGGCGAAGGCGGCUCACUGGACCGGUACUGACGCUGAGGCACGAAAGCGUGGGGAGCAAACAGG